AUUGAACGCUGGCGGCAUGCCUUACACAUGCAAGUCGAACGGUAACAGGUCUUCGGAUGCUGACGAGUGGCGAACGGGUGAGUAAUACAUCGGAACGUGCCCGAUCGUGGGGGAUAACGGAGCGAAAGCUUUGCUAAUACCGCAUACGAUCUACGGAUGAAAGCGGGGGAUCUUCGGACCUCGCGCGGACGGAGCGGCCGAUGGCAGAUUAGGUAGUUGGUGGGAUAAAAGCUUACCAAGCCGACGAUCUGUAGCUGGUCUGAGAGGAUGAUCAGCCACACUGGGACUGAGACACGGCCCAGACUCCUACGGGAGGCAGCAGUGGGGAAUUUUGGACAAUGGGCGCAAGCCUGAUCCAGCCAUGCCGCGUGCAGGAUGAAGGCCUUCGGGUUGUAAACUGCUUUUGUACGGAACGAAAAGGUGCCUUCUAAUAAAGGGCGCUCAUGACGGUACCGUAAGAAUAAGCACCGGCUAACUACGUGCCAGCAGCCGCGGUAAUACGUAGGGUGCAAGCGUUAAUCGGAAUUACUGGGCGUAAAGCGUGCGCAGGCGG
rnacentral:rRNA from 1 species